AAACAUUUCAAGGACUCUGAAGAAAAUAUGGAAAUGAAUUGUCAUUACAAUUUAUCUGAGCAUAUGUGCCUUUCGACUCCAAUGCCUGAAGAAGGAUUCAUUUUUAAAUGAUUUGUUGGAAAUUUGGAACGUACCCAGAGAAGGGCAACGAAACUGAACUGCAAAUGAAACGCCCCACAACAGAAGCCGUUCGGUUUCUGGUACUGAUUACCAGGUUGGAGUCUCAUCUGAGAAGGUGGAGCGAUCGCAAGUCUGCACGUCACUGCGGUGAUCCAGUGGGAGGAGGCAGCCCACCCGGGCCCAUCAGCCGUCGAUCUGGAUUUCCUCCUGUGCGCAGGCGAUUGGCCACCCUGUGCAUGGUUCACUUGGGUGUGACUGCGAGCCCUGCUUAGUUCUGUGAAAGUCACAGAGAGCCUACGUGCAGCAAAAGCAGAGAAACAGAGCAGAAACUGCACAGCUGAUGGAGUGUGAGGAGAAGAAAUCUGAACAUCAUUGUCUAAAUCUUUAUAUAAGGCUUCUAAACCUAACUGUCAAAGUUCAUUCAGCUGAGCUAAAAUACAAAACAAGGUACUUAGUGGCUUUGAAAUAAAACUAGAGAUUAUCGCAAGUGCUGCAGUUGUUCAAAUUCAGCUCCUGCCAAGUUUUCACACCACCGAUGCUUCUAAGAACAGAGAAACCUACCUUAGAAGCUUCUUCCCAAUUUGUAUCUUGCUAUUUUCAGUAUUAAAUUUAGAACAG
ensembl:lncRNA